rnacentral:rRNA from 1 species
CCUACGGGAGGCAGCAGUGGGGAAUCUUGCGCAAUGGGCGAAAGCCUGACGCAGCCAUGCCGCGUGAAUGAUGAAGGUCUUAGGAUUGUAAAAUUCUUUCAUCGGGGACGAUAAUGACGGUACCCGGAGAAGAAGCCCCGGCUAACUUCGUGCCAGCAGCCGCGGUAAUACGAAGGGGGCUAGCGUUGCUCGGAAUUACUGGGCGUAAAGGGAGCGUAGGCGGAUAGUUUAGUCAGAGGUGAAAGCCCAGGGCUCAACCUUGGAAUUGCCUUUGAUACUGGCUAUCUUGAGUACGGAAGAGGUAUGUGGAACUCCGAGUGUAGAGGUGAAAUUCGUAGAUAUUCGGAAGAACACCAGUGGCGAAGGCGACAUACUGGUCCGUUACUGACGCUGAGGCUCGAAAGCGUGGGGAGCAAACAGGAUUAGAUACCCUGGUAGUCCACGCUGUAAACGAUGAGUGCUAGUUGUCGGCAUGCAUGCAUGUCGGUGACGCAGCUACGCAUAAGCACUCCGCCGUCGGGAGGUACGGUCGCGAGAAUUAAACUACGAAGAAGUUAGACGGCGUGAGACGUGCCGACGGACGACGACGAGGGAGGUUAGG